rnacentral:rRNA from 1 species
GUGGGGAAUCUUGCGCAAUGGGCGAAAGCCUGACGCAGCCAUGCCGCGUGAAUGAUGAAGGUCUUAGGAUUGUAAAAUUCUUUCACCGGGGACGAUAAUGACGGUACCCGGAGAAGAAGCCCCGGCUAACUUCGUGCCAGCAGCCGCGGUAAUACGAAGGGGGCUAGCGUUGCUCGGAAUUACUGGGCGUAAAGGGCGCGUAGGCGGACAGUUUAGUCAGAGGUGAAAGCCCAGGGCUCAACCUUGGAAUUGCCUUUGAUACUGGCUGUCUUGAGUUUGGGAGAGGUGAGUGGAACACCGAGUGUAGAGGUGAAAUUCGUAGAUAUUCGGAAGAACACCAGUGGCGAAGGCGACUCACUGGCCCAAUACUGACGCUGAGGCGCGAAAGCGUGGGGAGCAAACAGGAUUAGAAACCCGGGUAGUCC